rnacentral:rRNA from 1 species
GGACUACACGGGUAUCUAAUCCUGUUCGAUCCCCACGCUUUCGCGCCUCAGCGUCAGUAUUUUGCCAGGUGGCUGCCUUCGCCAUUGACGUUCCUUCCGAUCUCUACGCAUUUCACCGCUACACCGGAAAUUCCGCCACCCUCUCAUAUACUCCAGUUAGAUCGUUUGCAAUGCGCUUCCCAGGUUAAGCCCGGGGCUUUCACAUCACACUCAUCUUACCGCCUACGCGCCCUUUACGCCCAGUAAAUCCGAUUAACGCUUGCACCCUCUGUAUUACCGCGGCGGCUGGCAC